UACGUAGGGCGCAAGCGUUGUCCGGAAUUAUUGGGCGUAAAGAGCUCGUAGGCGGCUUGUCGCGUCGGAUGUGAAAGCCCGGGGCUUAACUCCGGGUCUGCAUUCGAUACGGGCAGGCUAGAGUUCGGUAGGGGAGAUCGGAAUUCCUGGUGUAGCGGUGAAAUGCGCAGAUAUCAGGAGGAACACCGGUGGCGAAGGCGGAUCUCUGGGCCGAUACUGACGCUGAGACGCGAAAGCGUGGGGAGCGAACAGG
rnacentral:rRNA from 1 species